UUGUAAAAUUGACACAAGUGUUGCAUGCAGUUUUAACUCAAUGUUGUCAGUUUAGUGAAAUGAAAGUGAAAAUAUCGUGUUAGAUUUACUAGGCAGAUAGGCCUAGCCUAUUUAUAGAUUGUGUUAUGUUGAAAGAACCCAACGCAGUCAGGCAAUUUCUUCAAACUACCCAGAAUGCAACGCUCCAGCUUUUCAAAUUGCAGGAAGGCGCGAGGAGUAAACAGACUAGUUCGCCUGCAAGAAAUGUACCACGUGAUGCAGUAGCCUGUUGAUGCUGGCAAAAGAUGCAAUCUGGAGGAUUUCAGGAGAUGGCUCUUGCUCACUGGCAGUGACUUGGGUCAUGUGAGACAGCAUCAGAGCUCGGGUGACAUCUCUCGCUCGGGUGAAAUCUCUCCUGGAAGAUUUCAAGGUGUGUGCAGAGUUCUGAAGAAUAAAAGUCAACAGUCAAGUUCUUCUCCAUAUUCUCCAAAUCUGACGGAGGCGUUCCAUCAGGAAAG